AUAAGAUUAGACCAAAAGUUAUAAAUAAAUUUAUAGGUAUUUAAUUAUUGAUUAUAAGAUUUUCACACUUACUUUACCAAGUUUCACCAGAUUUGAUAAUAUAAAAAAAAUCAAGAGAUCUUACACUAGUUGACAAGGAUUCUGAUUGUUACGAAUUUUGGCUUUAGGCUUUGAUUUUAGAUAUCUGGCUUUAGAAAAUUUGGAUCUGAGAGCUGUGGCUUUAAAAAAUGUAGCCGUUAUUAAAUUUUGUGGAAAUAUAUUUCGUAUUAAAAUUGUAAAAAGUUAAGAUUUAAUUAUUUAAUAAUUAGAAUUUUAUUUAAUGAUAUAUAUAUAACUGUAAAGUAUUAGAAAAUGGAUUUCAAAAGAACGAGAGAAAAAUAUUAUUCAUUAAUUAGUCAACAAUUUAUUUAGUAUAAAAAAAUAAGUUUUUAAUAUUUUGGGGAAAGAAAGAAAAAUAAAAAUAUAAAAAUUAAUGAGUCCAACCGUAGAAGAGACAAUGAAAGUAUGGAAAAAAAGACUUUAGGCAAAAAAUGAAAAAGAAAAAAGAAAAACAAAAAAAAAUUAACUGCAAGUGAUUUUCAAAACUUUAGAGAAAGAGAAAGCCAUCAAAGGUUGAUUGGAUAAGGGAUGAUGUUGUCUCUCUCUUUCUGCUCUGUCCUCCCUCAUGAAUCCGACACGGAGGAAGGGCUGAGAUGAAACUUCAACCGAAGUUUUUUACAAACCCACCUCCGGUUAGCAUGUUUGAUUCUGGGAAGCGGUGAUUCCUUCCACACAGCCAUCGCCAGUUUUUGUUUCGGGAAAACGGUGGCUCUGACAGCACCGGUUUCGCCGGCUUUCGUCCCUGGAGAAGCGGUGGCUCUGACAGCACCGUCCUUUCGCCGGCUUCUUCUCCGGAUUGAUCCGGAAUCAGUUCACCCUUAGUCUUUCUUUGCCCAAUCGACUCUCGAUCUGAGAAUCCAUGUUGAUUUCUUGGAUUGAUCGCAGAUGAUUGAUGUUUUCUUGGAAGCGUAGAUCCAUGGUUCUUGAUCUACAACGGUUUUGGCCUCUAUGGUGGAGUUUGGUCGCGUUUUUUCUCUGACUCCGGUGGAAGAUGAUGUCGUUUUCUGGUGGAUGUCCGAUUAUUGCG
rnacentral:lncRNA from 1 species